GGCAAGAUGGCCGAGUGGUCUAAGGCGAUGGAUUCAAGCAUUUCAAUAUUCCUUGGCCUCAGGAAAACUGAGGACAUGCUUCCCAUUGGAGCAAUCCGCAGGGGUUCGAAUCCCCUUCUUGUCA